rnacentral:misc_RNA from 1 species
UUUCCGUAGGUGAACCUGCGGAAGGAUCAUUACAGAGUUCAUGCCCUCACGGGUAGAUCUCCCACCCUUGAAUAUUUAUACCUUAGUUGCUUUGGCAGGCCGUGGAAACACCAUGGGCUCCGGCUUAUGCGUGCCUGCCAGAGGAAACAAACUCUGUUUUCAGUGAUGUCUGAGUACUAUAUAAUAGUUAAAACUUUCGACAACGGAUCUCUUGGUUCUG